UACGUAGGGGGCAAGCGUUGUCCGGAUUUAUUGGGCGUAAAGAGCGUGUAGGCGGCCAGACAGGUCCGUUGUGAAAACUCGAGGCUCAACCUCGAGACGCCGAUGGAAACCGUCUGGCUAGAGUCCGGAAGAGGAGAGUGGAAUUCCUGGUGUAGCGGUGAAAUGCGCAGAUAUCAGGAAGAACACCCGUGGCUAAGGCGGCUCUCUAGUACGGUACUGACGCUGAGACGCGAAAGCGUGGGGAUCAAACAGG
rnacentral:rRNA from 1 species